UCAAACAUGGCUAGGCUGAUAGAGCACCUUCAACAUGGCUAGGCUGAUAUAACAUAAUUAGAUUACCAAAGUUAAUGAUGCCUUCUUGAACUAUGUGUUUAAACUAUAGCAAUACAGUAGGAUGUUCUUACUAGUAGAAGUCUUGAAUGAAUGAACAAUCCAUGAGUAAUCCACGUGGAGAUUGAAGCUGUGUUUUAUAGUUGUAAGUGGAAAUGUUGAUAUUUGGUUAUGAACUCAGACAGCCACGUAGGUUGCUCCAGAGGGUAGUGGAUAUGAACUCAGACAGCUGAGUAGGUUGCUCAGAGGGUAGUGGAUAUGACAGACAGCCAAGUAGGUUGCUCAGAAGGUAGUGGAUAUGACAGACAGCCAAGUAGGUUGCUCAGAAGGUAGUGGAUAUGACAGACAGCCACGUAGGUUGCUCAGAGGGUAGUGGAUAUGACAGACAG